AUUAAAGGAAAACUUAAGAAGUAAUUUUGGUUGAAAUACAAGGAUCCAUUUAGUUACACAGGUGAUGUUCAGUCUGAAAGGAUUAAAAGUGAAGUAGUUUGACCUGCUCCUUUACUUACUCCCGUUGUUCAUCUCUCUAACAGGUUGCUGACAGCAGGAAGAGGCAGAGGGAGGACAGCUGCUCCAGAGGCCCUGAGGAGCCUCCUGAGAGAAGACUCCGUGGGGAUGCUGCCGUCCUGUCACAGCGUAGCUCCAGCCCGCAGCCCUCCACCUCUUCCUCUACCCCACCACAGGCCAGGCAGGAGGAUGUCCAGCUGGAGGUUCAGGUAAGACAGGUGAUCCAGCCAGGACCCCUCCAGGAGCCUAUGGAGGACAGUCAGCCUGACGACGACGCGGCCUUGUCCCUCCUGCCGGAGCCUCGUGGUCUCUCACCCUCUUCUUUUCUUACAGUGUCCGAGAGCAUCAUGGCCUGGAUGUCUGACUGUCCAUUCAGCCGGGAGAUGUGAGACUCCUGCAGGAAACAGGCCUGGUGCAGAGCUCCACUGCUGGACCAGCCAGUAGCUGUGACAGGACCACACACACACAAACACACCUUUCAUUUGAACAUUUGAUUUUUAAUUCCAUAUUAAUUUAUAGAUAAGAUUGAAGUAUUUCACUUUUUAGUAUGUCAAUAAGUUUUACAUUUUUUAUUCUUUAUUACUUUAUAGAUAAGUUUUAAAUGUUUCUUUUUAGUAUGUUGAUAAGUUUUACAUUGUGAAGGCACCUCUCUAACUUCUGAUAUCAAGUUUGCUUUUGCCUGUUAGUUUUCCCUUUUUCCUUGAAGGUACCACAGGAACGUAUUUGCGACAGACCUGGUCCGAGCCUCCCAGGGACUAAAAGCCACUCGAGUUGCUCUGGUCUCUCUUUUCACCUGGACUCACCGCUGCCAGCAGCUGUACAUUUAACCUUUGUCUUUUACUGACGGACACACUUCACAUUUGUAGCUUUUUGUUUGCUUGUUUCCUUUUUUACAAUCCAUUGUGUCCCUUUCCAUGUUUGUCUUGGCCUAAGAGCCGGGUUAUGACACCACAAAAAAGUAUAUUACAGUAGACAUAGUAUCAUUUGUCAUAAAAA
rnacentral:lncRNA from 1 species